UAUGAACGCUAGCGGCAGGCCUAAUACAUGCAAGCUGAACGGUAAAUAUUGUAGCAAUACAAUAUGAGAGUAGCGUAAGGGUGCGUAACACGUAUGCAAUCUGCCCUGUACAGGAGGAUAGCUCGGGGAAACCCGGAUUAAUACUCCGUAAUAUUAUUGGGAGGCAUCUCUUGAUAAUUAAAGUCGCAAGACGGUAUGGGAUGAGCAUGCGUCUGAUUAGCUAGUUGGUGGUGUAACGGACCACCAAGGCGAUGAUCAGUAGGGGAACUGAGAGGUUGAUCCCCCACACUGGCACUGAGAUACGGGCCAGACUCCUACGGGAGGCAGCAGUAGGGAAUAUUGGUCAAUGGAUGCAAGUCUGAACCAGCCAUGCCGCGUGCAGGAAGAAGGCCUUCUGGGUUGUAAACUGCUUUUGCCGGGGGAUAAAAAGUCCAUGCGUGGACAAUUGAAGGUACCCGGUGAAUAGGCCACGGCUAACUACGUG
rnacentral:rRNA from 1 species